AGCUUGUUGGUGAGGUAAUGGCUCACCAAGGCGACGACGGGUAGCCGGCCUGAGAGGGUGACCGGCCACACUGGGACUGAGACACGGCCCAGACUCCUACGGGAGGCAGCAGUGGGGAAUAUUGCACAAUGGGCGAAAGCCUGAUGCAGCAACGCCGCGUGAGGGAUGACGGCCUUCGGGUUGUAAACCUCUUUUAGUAGGGAAGAAGCGAAAGUGACGGUACCUGCAGAAAAAGCACCGGCUAACUACGUGCCAGCAGCCGCGGUAAUACGUAGGGUGCAAGCGUUGUCCGGAAUUAUUGGGCGUAAAGAGCUCGUAGGCGGUUUGUCGCGUCUGCUGUGAAAUCCCGAGGCUCAACCUCGGGCUUGCAGUGGGUACGGGCAGACUAGAGUGCGGUAGGGGAGAUUGGAAUUCCUGGUGUAGCGGUGGAAUGCGCAGAUAUCAGGAGGAACACCGAUGGCGAAGGCAGAUCUCUGGGCCGUAACUGACGCUGAGGAGCGAAAGCAUGGGGAGCGAACAGGAUUAGAUACCCUGGUAGUCCAUGCCGUAAACGUUGGGCGCUAGAUGUAGGGACCUUUCCACGGUUUCUGUGUCGUAGCUAACGCAUUAAGCGCCCCGCCUGGGGAGUACGGCCGCAAGGCUAAAACUCAAAGGAAUUGACGGGGGCCCGCACAAGCGGCGGAGCAUGCGGAUUAAUUCGAUGCAACGCGAAGAACCUUACCAAGGCUUGACAUACACCGGAAACGGCCAGAGAUGGUCGCCCCCUUGUGGUCGGUGUACAGGUGGUGCAUGGUUGUCGUCAGCUCGUGUCGUGAGAUGUUGGGUUAAGUCCCGCAACGAGCGCAACCCUCGUUCUAUGUUGCCAGCGGGUUAUGCCGGGGACUCAUAGGAGACUGCCGGGGUCAACUCGGAGGAAGGUGGGGAUGACGUCAAAUCAUCAUGCCCCUUAUGUCUUGGGCUUCACGCAUGCUACAAUGGCCGGUACAAAGGGCUGCGAUACCGUAAGGUGGAGCGAAUCCCAAAAAGCCGGUCUCAGUUCGGAUUGAGGUCUGCAACUCGACCUCAUGAAGUCGGAGUCGCUAGUAAUCGCAGAUCAGCAACGCUGCGGUGAAUACGUUCCCGGGCCUUGUACACACCGCCCGUCAAGUCAUGAAAGUCGGUAACACCCGAAGCCGGUGGCCUAACCCUUGUGGAAGGAGCCGUCGAAGGUGGGAUCGGUGAUUAGGACUAAGUCGUAACAAGGUAGCCGUACCGGAAGGUGCGGCUGGAUCACCUCCUU
rnacentral:rRNA from 1 species